rnacentral:rRNA from 1 species
AACGGAAUUGACGGGGCCCGCACAAGCGGAGGAGCAUGUGGUUUAAUUCGAUGAUACGCGAGGAACCUUACCUGGGCUCGAACGUAAGAUGACUGUAGGUGAAAGCUUACAUCUCUUCGGAGCAUUUUACGAGGUGCUGCAUGGUUGUCGUCAGCUCGUGCCGUGAGGUGUCGGGUUAAGUCCCAUAACGAGCGCAACCCCUACCUUUAGUUGCCAUCAGGUAAUGCUGGGGACUCUAAAGGAACUGCCUACGCAAGUAGUGAGGAAGGCGGGGAUGACGUCAAAUCAGCACGGCCCUUACGUCCAGGGCUACACACGUGCUACAAUGGCCGAUACAGAGGGCAGCUACCUGGUGACAGGAUGCAAAUCUCCAAAGUCGGUCUCAGUUCGGAUCGGAGUCUGCAACCCGACUCCGUGAAGUUGGAUUCGCUAGUAAUCGCGCAUCAGCCAUGGCGCGGUGAAUACGUUCCCGGGCCUU